GACGAACGCUGGCGGCGUGCUUAACACAUGCAAGUCGAACGGAAAGGCCCGGCUUUUGUGGGGUGCUCGAGUGGCGAACGGGUGAGUAACACGCGUGUAUCCCGCCCUUGACUGUGGGAUAAAUUCAGGAAACUGGGGAUAAUACCGGAUAGGAGCUCCUGCUGCAUGGUGGGGGUUGGAAAGUUUCGGCGGUUGGGGCAGGACUCGAGGCUUAUCAGCUUGUUGGUGGGGUAGUGGCUUACCAAGGCUUUGACGGGUAGCCGGCCUGAGAGGGUGACCGGCCACAUUGGGACUGAGAUACGGCCCAGACUCCUACGGGAGGCAGCAGUGGGGAAUAUUGCACAAUGGGCGGAAGCCUGAUGCAGCAACGCCGCGUGCGGGAUGACGGCCUUCGGGUUGUAAACCGCUUUCGCCUGUGACGAAGCGUGAGUGACGGUAAUGGGUAAAGAAGCACCGGCUAACUACGUG
rnacentral:rRNA from 1 species